UACGUAGGGGGCUAGCGUUGUCCGGAUUUAUUGGGCGUAAAGAGCGUGUAGGCGGCCAGGUAGGUCUGGUGUGAAAACUCGAGGCUUAACCUCGAGAUGUCAUCGGAAACCAUCUGGCUAGAGUCCGGAAGAGGAGAGUGGAAUUCCUGGUGUAGCGGUGAAAUGCGCAGAUAUUGGAAGGAACACCGGAGGCGAAAGCGGUGUACUGGGGCUGGUCUGACGCUGAGGCACGAAAGCCAGGGGAGCGAACGGG
rnacentral:rRNA from 1 species